rnacentral:rRNA from 1 species
AGUGAACGCUGGCGGUAGGCCUAACACAUGCAAGUCGAACGGCAGCACAGUAAGAGCUUGCUCUUACGGGUGGCGAGUGGCGGACGGGUGAGGAAUACAUCGGAAUCUACUUUUUCGUGGGGGAUAACGUAGGGAAACUUACGCUAAUACCGCAUACGACCUACGGGUGAAAGCAGGGGAUCUUCGGACCUUGCGCGAUUGAAUGGGCCGAUGUCGGAUUAGCCAGUUGGCGGGGUAAAGGCCCACCAAGGCGACGAUCCGUAGCUGGUCUGAGAGGAUGAUCAGCCACACUGGAACUGAGACGCGGUCCAGGCUCCUACGGGAGGCAGCAGUGGGGAAUAUUGGACAAUGGGCGCAAGCCUGAUCCAGCCAUACCGCGUGGGUGAAGAAGGCCUUCGGGUUGUAAAGCCCGUUUGUUGGGAAAGAAAAGCAGCAGGUUAAUACCCCGCUGUUCUGACGGUACCCAAAGAAUAAGCACCGGCUAACUUCGUG